GCUUGUCUCAAAGAUUAAGCCAUGCAUGUCUAAGUAUAAGCACUUAUACCGUGAAACUGCGAAUGGCUCAUUAUAUCAGUCUUAAUUUAAAUGAUAGUCCCUACUACUUGGAUAACCGUAGUAAUUCUAGAGCUAAUACGUGCGUAAAUCCCGACUCCUGGAAGGGACGUAUUUAUUAGAUUUAAGGCCAACCGAGCUUGCUCGUCUCUUGGUGAAUCAUGAUAACUUCACGAAUCGCAUGGCCUCGCGCCGGCGAUAUUUCAUUCAAAUUUCUGCCCUAUCAAUUGGCGAUGGUAGGAUAGAGGCCUACCAUGGUGUUAACGGGUGACGGGGGAUUAGGGUUCGAUUCCGGAGAGGCAGCCUGAGAAACGGCUACCACAUCCAAGGAAGGCAGCAGG
rnacentral:rRNA from 1 species